AGAAGGUUUUUUUUUUUUUUUUUUUUUUAUUAUUAAAACAAAUCUACAAGGCUGGAUUUAAACUUCCCAGCCUUUGCUGCAUUUCCCUUUGCUGCUCCACUCAAGACUGCAUCCACACAGUUUGAACUCCCCAGUCUGAGAAGCUGCAGAUGAUUUGCUAAAUAGGCCUUCAAGCUGUGCCCACUCCCCUCUCACCAAUGUCCCCACCCCAUGUUUGUGGGGCAGUGGAGAUCUUAAAGAUUCUCCUUCAGAGAUGCCCCGUGCUGUGUGCGCUCACGCACUUGGCACCCAUGUCAUGCUCUGGCAGCACCCACUGUGGGCUCCCCUCUCCCUGCUGCCACCCAGAGCUGGACCCAGAUGACUGCUUGCUCUGCCAAAAAGCCACGUCCGCAGCCAUGGGGUGGGCAGGGCCCAUUUGCUUUCAACGAGGGCCUUAAAGACAACCCCCGGCUGCAGCACAGAGCUGUGGGGUCCUCAUGGUGCAGCCUGAUGCUGGGGGCUGCGACUGACUUUGGUGUAAGGUCUGAGGUGUGGGUGCCCGCACCCAUCACAAGCCCAAGCGCAGAUAAAAACAAGGCACAGCAGUGACAGGGGUCAACCAGGUCAACCAGGACAACUUGUGAUGUCAAGGGACAUCACAAACAACAUAACCUUGAUGUGCAGCCCCCUUUCUCCUACUGCCUUGAACAUGGUGGCCACAACCCAAGCAGCAAACGUCACCCAUGAGGCAGCUGUGCUGUGCCAGGGGACUGUGCCUGGGGAGCAAGCAAAGAAGAAACCCUCAUCUGCACCAAGGACCUGGCUUUAUCAUUGAUUUAUUGCAAGGCCUCAGCCACACCAACAGAGCCUCAGCAGAGAGCAGCAUGCGGCCACAACAAGAAGUAGCCAGGCCAAAGACCACCUAACCCCUCGGCUUCGCAGUCCAGCUGGUCAUAGGUUCACAGCACUUUUGGCUCCGGAGCUGGGCAGUGCCACUCUCCGCUGAGAUGCAAAAACCCCCAUGCGCUCUGACAGCCCCUCCUGAAGCCCAUCAGCAUCUCCUCGCCAGGGUUUUGGGCUGCACGGACACAAGUCCAGAAGUCCUUCCUUGCUGCCCUGGGAGACAUUUCCCUCUCCCACAUUAGCAAGUUUCCUUUUGCAAGACCAGAGCCAUUUCCAGUCCAUCCCAGCUCUGCAAGGGUGCUCUGCAGUGUGACAGCUCUUGGCGGGGACAGCCCCGUGGUGGCUUCAGUCCCCCUCACACAGCCCUCUUGUGCCUUCGUGCCCAGCGGUGCUACAGAUGUGCAGAGUCUGUUCUGUGUUCCCUGGGCAGGACGGCAUGAAAAGAGCCAGAUGCUUUGGUUAAAAAAAAAAAAUUAAAAAGAAAGAAAAAAAAUAAUAAAAAUCAGUGCCCAAUUUCACAUCUGCAGCUCCAGAAAGCCAACAAGAAACAAUGGUCCAGAGCAGGGCUGGGUGUGUGCUGGUGGAAACCCAGACCUGCUGAUCCUCGUGUGAACGGCACCAGCCCC